AAUUUUAUGUUUGUUGAAUCGUGAAUGAAAAUCCUUCCUAAUGUGCAGGUGCUUGUUUGUUUGUCUUAUUUAACAUUGCCUCUUUCUUUCUGCCAGGAUUGUUUCGAUCCUAUAGUUGAAAAAAUAGGUUGUGAUCUGAUCCCUGCUAUGGACUACGGAAGAAAUGUAGUGGGUUAAGAAUUUGGUGGGAUGUAUUGUGCAAUUUUAACUGUAAAUUUAGAUGUUGUAUCAGCUGGAAUCCUUAGAAUAUUUGGUCAGGAUGUUGCUGAACUUCCUUUGGUCGCUACAAGUAAAGAAAGCCAAGGAAAGGUAAUGCAUUCAAGUUGAAAAGUAAAUGCUGAUUGUGAUGCACUUGGUUUUUUUUUACUGGCAUUGUUUUUUUUUAAAGUUUUUCUUAUGCUUAUGAUUUC